rnacentral:lncRNA from 1 species
UUAUAAAAUCCACAAAACCACCUCUGAUGGUGGUGAUGAGUUCAAAAGACAUGUUAUACCUCCCUAAAAUCUUAAUUUUAGUCGAAUAAUGUUGUAGUUGUUCGAAGUAAUGCUAUUUAUAGUCAGCGACUGCAGUAAUCGUCCUAUAUAGCAAUUUGUUAUUGGAAGUAUUAGCUUGUCAUUUGAGGCAACAAAAUUAUAGGAAAUUAAUGCCUUCAAUAACAAGUUGUCACAUAGGAUGACUACUGUAGUUGCUGAUUAUAAAUAACAUUAUUCAUUUGUUAAAUUCAUUUCAGCAACUCUACUUUGGUAUGGAUGAAAAGCUGCCCAUGUAUCAUAUUGGAUGAGCAAACACAUUAGUUUCUCCUUUUGUCGAGCUCUUGUAGAAACUUAACCAUCACCACACUGGAAAUGUGUAGAGCCUAAUCGUAUUAGAAACAUAAACCCUUUAUUGCAGUUUGACAUAUUAUUCCAAUGGUCUUAUUUUGUGGGUCUCUUUGAAAAACGAACAUGCGAGCUUAAUGGCGGAUAUUGUUAGUGAAUAGAGGCCAUGACACUUCUCUUUGGAUCCAAAGAACUGCUAUUAGCACUGGAUAAAGAUCCUUGCAGUAACAGAGUUAAUGGAUUUGUUGCUCGUUGAUGUAUAGAAAAUCUUGAAAAGAAUAGAAAGAAUCUGUGGCUCUUUGAAACGAGUUGCAAAAUGGCCACAGGUUUAUGAAUCCCCUCUAAUGAUUAGUUGAAAAUUACAUUUUCGGUUUGUCUAGGAAUAUGUACGUAGAGAAGAGAAGAUUUGGGAACUCGGAAAAAACCUUUCUACAUAUAUUUGGAAUCUUUAUUAUUGGGUCCAUCUUCAGUGAAAGUAAGAUCUGUAAAUGUUUCUCAAUCUCUCUGCUGCAGCUGGUCCUUCCCACAAGGUCGAGAUUGUUAACGACGUGUAAAUGUUUCCAUGAUAUUCUCUUGAUCUCGUUUGAUUAUAUUCCAGAUAGUUAGGUUUCAUAUAUUAUUACCUCUUGUUAAACAGGUCCAGUAACUAAAGAGAAUGGGAGAUUUAAACACCUCAGAAACAAUUUCAGAGACAUGUUUGGUAUGUUGGACUGGACAUUAUUAAAAAAGAGAGGGAGAACUUUAAAAUCUUGUUUGUUUUCCUUUAUAAUACUACAGAUUAGUGCAUGCCGAACUUGCCUUUAAUGUUUUGCAUUAUUUUUAACCUGCCGAUUUGCAUCGGAGGGAAUCUUUGAAACUUUUAAAGUCAAUAUAGAUAUCAGAUAUCAAAAAUCCAAUUGCCAAGUUUAGAUGUUGUUGGGAGCAACAAUGUCACUUUUAACACAUUGUUUCAAUCACUCAGAUGAUGAUGAUUGAAUACCAUAAAAAAUUUAGGGUCUGUUCGUAACGUUUUUGAGAAUCAAUUUUUUUUUUUUUAUUGUUAAAGAGGUAAGUGGAUCCCACUUGUGCGUGAAGAAGUCGAAAAUGACGGCUGACUUGGAGAAGUAACGAUCAAAAAAUUGAUUUUUUGUGGUGAAAAAUCAGAACCAAAUGGGGGCUAAGCUUGUUUUCGUUGGACAAAAAUUAAUUUUUAGAUGAGAUCAUGGAAACUUGAUCCAAACCAGUGGGUAUCAAAGUUAGGAUCAUGAAUUCGAGUCGUGAAAAUGUCAUGUUGAGGGAGAUAUUGUUGGGGAAGCAACAAUGCCUCUCUUAAGUUCAUGGCUUGGUUACUCAAAGGAUGGUGGUCAAAUGGCAUAAUAGAUUUAGUAUGUACUCGCCAGACAUUUUUAGAUGAGAUGGUUGAAACGUGAUCCUAACAAAUGUCGAGACUAAUCAAUGUUUCUUUGCUGCAAGCAAUUUGGAUCUUGCAACAGAAAUUUGAACCAAUAAUUCACAUUUGUAAAUGACCAUUUAAUAGUUUGGAGAGCGUUCCACCAAAUAGAAACUAAAUUUUUAUAGCCGGAACCAAAUACUCAAAUUUGGUUUAAUAAUUCUCUACAGGCCCGAGUCUUCCCCAAUUUUCCUCCUCUCAACCCCCAUCUCCCAAGUUGCUGCAGGACGCGCACGGUGUCGUCACUCUCAUUCCAUUCUCCAUUGCGAUUUGUGACAUAAAGACCUUUUUGUCCAAUUCUCUCGUACACUAUAGAUUCUGCUACUGGGACAUCACAACACCAACACAAGAUCAUACACGAGAAAGAAAGGUGAAUGGAAGAGGCAAAGUCGAGUAAUUCUCAACUCUAUUUAUUCAAUUUCAAGUUUUGCCAACCGAUAAGCAUUCUACCCAAUCAUCCUUAUGUGUGCUAAGUAUCAAGAUCAAUAAUUGGUAAACCCUGAAAUCGAUACUUUCCAUGUCCCCAAAAACCUUAAAAAUACAGAAAUGUACUAUGCUAAUUUAGGCUUCAAAGACAAAUCAAACAACAGAACAAUAAGAAGUUCUAGGUCUAAAAACUUACAGUCUUACACUAAUCUCUCCAUACAUUGAUUGAUUAUCAGUAUGCAAUCCCAAUUCUAUGAAAUUCUGGCGUUUUUAAUGCUUCUAUAACUCAUAUAAAGCUUCCUUAUCUCCAACUUCCAUUAUAAAAAAUAAAAUAAAAUGUUCGAGUAAAAACAUUGAUUUUAGCGCAUUCUUUAGUCCUCUUAAUCAGACAUUACAAGGUGAAAAUCGUCGAGGGUGAGUGGAGCGAGAGUAACACCGCAGCGAAAUAGGCAGCUUUGGGGAACAACUUGGUUGAUGGGGGUUGAGUGGAUGAAGGUUGGGAAAGACACAUACCUGUGUAGAAUUGGGGUGUUUGAUUAUUUUUCAUUUAAGGGUCACGAUCGUUUGUCAAAUAGAUUGGUAGGUGGAACAUUCACUCAUAAGUUUUAUUCCAAUUGCAAAGUCCUGAGACGGAAGUACUUAGCUUGCUAGGGGAUGGGAUUCAUUCGCUUGUAUUCUUGCUAGAACCACAAAAAUCUUUUUAUUUUUUUACUUGC